rnacentral:rRNA from 1 species
GGGACUUGUAUGAAUGGCCACACGAGGGCUUUACUGUCUCUUACUUCCAAUCCGUGAAAUUGACCUUCCCGUGAAGAGGCGGGAAUACAACAAUAAGACGAGAAGACCCUAUGGAGCUUUAAUUAAUCGACUCAAAGAGACUCCACUAACUAACCGACAGGAACAACAAACCUCUACAUGAGCCGACAAUUUAGGUUGGGGUGACCUCGGAGAACAAAACAACCUCCGAGUGAUUUAAAUCUAGACUAACCAGUCAAAAGUAUUACAUCACUUAUUGAUCCAAAAACUUGAUCAACGGAACAAGUUACCCUAGGGAUAACAGCGCAAUCCUAUUUCAGAGUCCAUAUCGACAAUAGGGUUUACGAC